UUCGCAAUGCCCGAAAGGGUGACGAAGCGACGCCGCGUGCGGGAAGAAGGCCUUCGGGUUGUAAACCGCUGUCGGGAGUUAAGAAAUGCAAGGAUGUUAAUAGCAUUCUUGCUUGACUAAGGCUCCGGAGGAAGCCACGGCUAACUCUGUGCCAGCAGCCGCGGUAGUACAGAGGCGGCAAGCGUUGUUCGGAAUUAUUGGGCGUAAAGAGCACGUAGGCGGCUAUGUAAGUCGGUUGUGAAAGCCUUCCGCUCAACGGAAGAACAGCAUCCGAUACUGCAUGGCUUGAGUGCGGGAGGGGAGAGUGGAACUUCUGGUGGAGCGGUGAAAUGCGUAGAUAUCAGAAGGAACGCCGGCGGCGAAAGCGACUCUCUGGCCCGUAACUGACGCUGAGUGUGCGAAAGCUAGGGGAGCAAACGGGAUUAGAUACCCCGGUAGUCCUAGCCGUAAACGAUGGGCACUAAGUAGAGGGGUUUU
rnacentral:rRNA from 1 species